rnacentral:rRNA from 1 species
GCUGUCUAGUCUGUAACUGACGCUGAGGCUCGAAAGCAUGGGUAGCGAACAGGAUUAGAUACCUGGUAGUCCAUGCCGUAGACGAUGAGUGCUAAGUGUUGGAGGGUUCCGCCUUUCAGUGCUGCAGCUAACGCAUUAGGCACUCCGCCUGGGGAGUACGACCGCAAGGUUGAAACUCAAAGGAAUUGACGGGGGCCCGCACAAGCGGUGGAGCAUGUGGUUUAAUUCGAAGCUACGCGAAGAACCUUACCAGGUCUUGACAUCUUCUGCCAAUCUUAGAGAUAAGACGUUCCCUUCGGGGACAGAAUGACAGGUGGUGCAUGGUUGUCGUCAGCUCGUGUCGUGAGAUGUUGGGUUAAGUCCCGCAACGAGCGCAACCCUUAUUAUCAGUUGCCAGCAUUCAGUUGGGCACUCUGGUGAGACUGCCGGUGACAAACCGGAGGAAGGUGGGGAUGACGUCAAAUCAUCAUGCCCCUUAUGACCUGGGCUACACACGUGCUACAAUGGACGGUACAACGAGUCGCGAAGUCGUGAGGCUAAGCUAAUCUCUUAAAGCCGUUCUCAGUUCGGAUUGUAGGCUGCAACUCGCCUACAUGAAGUUGGAAUCGCUAGUAAUCGCGGAUCAGCAUGCCGCGGUGAAUACGUUCCCGGGCCUUGUACACACCGCCCGUCACACCAUGAGAGUUUGUAACACCCAAAGCCGGUGAGAUAACCUUCGGGAGUCAGCCGUCUAAGGUGGGACAGAUGAUUAGGGUGAAGUCGUAACAAGGUAACCA